AUACGGAGGGUGCAAGCGUUGUCCGGAUUUAUUGGGUUUAAAGGGUGCGUAGGCGGCCUAUUAAGUCAGUGGUGAAAGCCGGUAGCUCAACUAUCGAAAUGCCAUUGAUACUGAUAGGCUUGAGUACAGUUGAGGUAGUUGGAAUGAGUAGUGUAGCGGUGAAAUGCAUAGAUAUUACUCAGAACACCGAUUGCGAAGGCAGAUUACUAAACUGGAACUGACGCUGAGGCACGAAAGUGUGGGGAUCAAACAGGAUUAGAUACCCUGGUAGUCCACACUGUAAACGUUGGAUACUCGAUGCGCGCGAUAAACUGUGAGUGUCCAAGCGAAAGCGAUAAGUAUCCCACCUGGGAAGUACGCCCGCAAGGGUGAA
rnacentral:rRNA from 1 species